rnacentral:rRNA from 1 species
GACGAACGCUGGCGGCGUGCUUAACACAUGCAAGUCGAGCGGUAAGGCCUUUCGGGGUACACGAGCGGCGAACGGGUGAGUAACACGUGGGUGAUCUGCCCUGCACUUCGGGAUAAGCCUGGGAAACUGGGUCUAAUACCGGAUAUGACCUCCUAUCGCAUGGUGGGUGGUGGAAAGAUUUAUCGGUGCAGGAUGGGCCCGCGGCCUAUCAGCUUGUUGGUGGGGUAAUGGCCUACCAAGGCGACGACGGGUAGCCGACCUGAGAGGGUGACCGGCCACACUGGGACUGAGACACGGCCCAGACUCCUACGGGAGGCAGCAGUGGGGAAUAUUGCACAAUGGGCGAAAGCCUGAUGCAGCGACGCCGCGUGAGGGAUGACGGCCUUCGGGUUGUAAACCUCUUUCAGCAGGGACGAAGCGCAAGUGACGGUACCUGCAGAAGAAGCGCCGGCUAACUACGUG